rnacentral:rRNA from 1 species
GUGGCGGAGCGUCGUUUGCGACGCCCAACACACAAAACAAGCGGUGAGUGCUUUGGGGUGGGGUGACUGCGUACCUUUUGUAUAAUGGGUCAGCGACUUAUAUUCUGUAGCAAGGUUAACCGUAUAGGGGAGCCGAAGGGAAACCGAGUCUUAACUGGGCGUUAAGUUGCAGGGUAUAGACCCGAAACCCGGUGAUCUAGCCAUGGGCAGGUUGAAGGUUGGGUAACACUAACUGGAGGACCGAACCGACUAAUGUUGAAAAAUUAGCGGAUGACUUGUGGCUGGGGGUGAAAGGCCAAUCAAACCGGGAGAUAGCUGGUUCUCCCCGAAAGCUAUUUAGGUAGCGCCUCGUGAACUCAUCUUCGGGGGUAGAGCACUGUUUCGGCUAGGGGGUCAUCCCGACUUACCAACCCGAUGCAAACUGCGAAUACCGAAGAAUGUUAUCACGGGAGACACACGGCGGGUGCUAACGUCCGUCGUGAAGAGGGAAACAACCCAGACCGCCAGCUAAGGUCCCAAAGUCACAGUUAAGUGGGAAACGAUGUGGGAAGGCUCAGACAGCCAGGAUGUUGGCUUAGAAGCAGCCAUCAUUUAAAGAAAGCGUAAUAGCUCACUGGUCGAGUCGGCCUGCGCGGAAGAUGUAACGGGGCUAAACUGUGCACCGAAGCUGCGGCAGCGACGCUUAUGCGUUGUUGGGUAGGGGAGCGUUCUGUAAGCCUGCGAAGGUGUCCUGUGAGGGAUGCUGGAGGUAUCAGAAGUGCGAAUGCUGACAUAAGUAACGAUAAUGCGGGUGAAAAGCCCGCUCGCCGGAAGACCAAGGGUUCCUGUCCAACGUUAAUCGGGGCAGGGUGAGUCGACCCCUAAGGCGAGGCCGAAAGGCGUAGUCGAUGGGAAACGGGUUAAUAUUCCCGUACUUGGUGUUACUGCGAAGGGGGGACGGAGAAGGCUAUGUUGGCCGGGCGACGGUUGUCCCGGUUUAAGCGUGUAGGCUGGUUUUCCAGGCAAAUCCGGAAAAUCAAG